rnacentral:lncRNA from 13 species
CUCUAGGGACCAGUAACCAUGGACCUUUUCAAACGUGAGGCUCUAUGCAGUCAUUCCUCGUCAUUCCAGGCUCAUUCCAAGGAAGUCACAUGGGUGACUGCAGUGCCAUGACCUCCACUUCUUGGAGCCUGGGCCUGGAAAUGGUUGUGACUCCAGUCCUGCGCAGGACAGAAGGAAUCCAUCCCAUUGUCAGCUGCCACUUCUGCAUGAAGGAGGAGCCAUGGCUUCAGAAUAUCAGACGGGAUAAGGAGAUGAGAACAGGUUUCAGAGCCAGAAAGACCUGGGGUCAAACUGACCUUUACCUGCCACAGAUGACAUAAUUUUUAUGAGACUUGAUAUUCUCUUAUGCAAGAUAAAAACAUAAUUACGUGCAUCUCACAGAUUGCUAUGUGGACCGAGGGAGGCCACACAUGCUCUCUGUUCAAAUCUUGUCGGCUCAAUACCUUUGCACUGGUUUCUGUAAAAUGCAGCUAAUAAUGGUACCUAUUUCACAGAGUUAUUAUGAGUGUUAAAUGAGUUAUUUUGUGUAAGGUACUUAGAAGAACACCAGGUACAUAGUAGACACCCAUAAAUAUUAUUCUCAUUGGGAGUGGUAGCAGCGUAUCUGAAGUCUUUAACACAAGGUCUACCACAUGUGAGUUGUAAACGUGUAUUAGUAUUCUACUCCUCUUUAUUUUGGGUAAGGGCUUUUAUUUUAGGCAGGUUUUUUUGUUUCUAAAAUUACAUAGUACUUAGCACAUUGCAGACCUUUUGCUGUCUCCACAGGAUGAUCUGGCUGAUUUGGAAAGAUGAGUGACCUCCAAUUUUGUCUAUGACACCUGCAUCUCAUUGAACUUAGUUCAUCUGCGUCAGAUCCUUCAUUAACCCUCAAAAUAUUCAAGCAUCUCAUUUUGCUUUGACUCAGUAACUAACUGUGGUUUUUGCUAUUUGUGGGCUGUUGACAGCAGACCAGACACAUGGCACAUGAACUAUCAAGACAAUCUACACACCUCUACCAGUGGGGCCACAAGUACCAAAUGUCUAAAAUUAUCUCCCUAAGCUCUGUCAAAAUGGUCAAAAUGCUCCUCACUAGAGACACAGAUUGGGUUAACAAGAAAAUAUGUUAGCUGAAAUAGGAUAGACAGUGAGGGCUCAUAAUGUGGCAAUUUGUGGCAAAGUCUUAGGGAGAGUGACUGUCUUUUGGCCCCUAAGGAAUGGAAAACAGGACAACCAAACUUUGAUAGGAAGUACUGAAUCACUAGAGGGGGCCAUAGGAGCACAGAGAGCUCAUUGAUAA